rnacentral:rRNA from 1 species
AUUGAACGCUGGCGGCAGGCUUAACACAUGCAAGUCGAGCGGGGUGAUGGUGCUUGCACUAUCACUUAGCGGCGGACGGGUGAGUAAUGCUUAGGAAUCUGCCUAUUAGUGGGGGACAACAUCUCGAAAGGGAUGCUAAUACCGCAUACGUCCUACGGGAGAAAGCAGGGGAUCACUUGUGACCUUGCGCUAAUAGAUGAGCCUAAGUCGGAUUAGCUAGUUGGUGGGGUAAAGGUCUACAAAGGCGACGAUCUGUAGCGGGUCUGAGAGGAUGAUCCGCCACACUGGGACUGAGACACGGCCCAGACUCCUACGGGAGGCAGCAGUGGGGAAUAUUGGACAAUGGGGGGAACCCUGAUCCAGCCAUGCCGCGUGUGUGAAGAAGGCCUUAUGGUUGUAAAGCACUUUAAGCGAGGGGGAGGCUCUUUUGGUUAAUACCCAAGAUGAGUGGACGUUACUCGCAGAAUAAGCACCGGCCAACUCUGUGCCAGCAGCCGCCGUAA